rnacentral:rRNA from 1 species
UACGUAGGUGGCAAGCGUUGUCCGGAUUUAUUGGGUUUAAAGGGUGUGUAGGCGGCCCUGUAAGUCAGUGGUGAAAUACUAUAGCUUAACUAUAGAGGUGCCAAUGAUACUGCAGGGCUUGAGUACAGAUGAGGUAGGCGGAAUUGACGGUGUAGCGGUGAAAUGUGUUGAUAUCGAUAGGAACUCCGGUGGCGAAGGCGGCAUACUGGUCCACUUCUGACGCUGAGGCGCGAAAGCCAGGGGAGCAAACGGG